rnacentral:lncRNA from 1 species
GAUCGACGGAAGUUCGCCGGAAACUCGCCGGAAGAAGCGAUUGACGCACCGAAGCAAAGCUGCAGAAAUUGUCUUAGAUUUAAUCAUAGUUAGCACGUUGAUUAAGUUGGAAAAUGGGAGGUGAUCCCAUUGGCUUAAUCUUGGGGCAAUUGGGCCCCUGAAAGACUAAAAUUGGGCCGAAUGGAACUAACCAUUCGGACCCUGAUUGCACCAGGAGGUGCAACCGCCUAGGCCAGGAGGUGGCACCGCCUGGGCUAAGCCUCCCAACGAGACUGGGCGGUGCAACCUCCCCAGCCAGGAGGUGGCACC